UUGCUCCCAAAGAUUAGCGGCGGACGGGUGAGUAACACGUGGGCAACCUGCCUGUAAGACUGGGAUAACUUCGGGAAACCGGAGCUAAUACCGGAUAAUCCCUUUCCUCACAUGAGGAAAGGCUGAAAGACGGUUUCGGCUGUCACUUACAGAUGGGCCCGCGGCGCAUUAGCUAGUUGGUGAGGUAACGGCUCACCAAGGCCACGAUGCGUAGCCGACCUGAGAGGGUGAUCGGCCACACUGGGACUGAGACACGGCCCAGACUCCUACGGGAGGCAGCAGUAGGGAAUCUUCCGCAAUGGACGAAAGUCUGACGGAGCAACGCCGCGUGAGUGAUGAAGGUUUUCGGAUCGUAAAACUCUGUUGUUAGGGAAGAACAAGUAUCGGAGUAACUGCCGGUACCUUGACGGUACCUAACCAGAAAGCCACGGCUAACUACGUGCCAGCAGCCGCGGUAAUACGUAGGUGGCAAGCGUUGUCCGGAAUUAUUGGGCGUAAAGCGCGCGCAGGUGGUUCCUUAAGUCUGAUGUGAAAGCCCACGGCUCAACCGUGGAGGGUCAUUGGAAACUGGGGAACUUGAGUGCAGAAGAGGAAAGUGGAAUUCCAAGUGUAGCGGUGAAAUGCGUAGAGAUUUGGAGGAACACCAGUGGCGAAGGCGACUUUCUGGUCUGUAACUGACACUGAGGCGCGAAAGCGUGGGGAGCGAACAGGAUUAGAUACCCUG
rnacentral:rRNA from 1 species